CGUCAAGUCAUCAUGCCCCUUAUGUCCUGGGCUGCACACGUGCUACAAUGGCCGGCACAAUGGGCUGCGAUACCGCGAGGUGGAGCGAAUCCCAUAAAACCGGUCCCAGUUCGGAUCGAAGGCUGCAACUCGCCUUCGUGAAGUCGGAGUUGCUAGUAAUCGCGGAUCAGCAUGCCGCGGUGAAUACGUUCCCGGGCCUU
rnacentral:rRNA from 1 species